GUCGAACGCUGGCGGCGUGCCUAAUACAUGCAAGUCGAACGCAGUUGGGACGGGUGAGUAACACGUGGGUAACCUCCCAUCAGAGGGGAUAACACUUGGAAACAGGUGCUAAACCGAUACUGUUGGCUGGUCCUGCGGUGCAUUAGCUAGCUGGUGAGGUAACGGCUCACCAAGGCCACGAUGCAUAGCCGGCCUGAGAGGAUGAUCGGCCACACUGGGACUGAGACACGGCCCAGACUCCUACGGGAGGCAGCAGUGGGGAAUCUUCUGCAAUGGACGAAAGUCUGACCGAGCAACGCCGCGUGAAUGAAGAAGGUUUUCGGGUCGUAAAGCUCUGUUGUUAGAGAAGCGGUAUCUAACGAAAAAGCCACGGCUAACUACGUGCCAGCAGCCGCGGUAAUAC
rnacentral:rRNA from 1 species